rnacentral:rRNA from 1 species
CUGGCGGCGUGCUUACGAUGUAAGUCGGACGGAACCGCAAGGUUCAGUGGCGAACGGCUGAGUAACACGUGAGUGACCUGUCCUGGUGCGGGGGAUAGCCGCUCGAAAGAGUGGGUAAUACCGCGUACGUUGCUGAGGGUGAAGCCUUGGCAGGAAAGCAGAGAUGCGCACUGGGAGGGGCUCGCGGCCCAUCAGGUAGUUGGUGAGGUAGCGGCUCACCAAGCCGAUGACGGGUAGCUGGUCUGAGAGGAUGAUCAGCCAGACUGGGACUGAGAUACGGCCCAGACUCCUACGGGGGGCAGCAGCGGGGAAUAUUGCACAAUGGGCGGAAGCCUGAUGCAGCGACGCCGCGUGAGGGAAGAAGGUCUUCGGAUUGUAAACCUCUUUUGUCGGGGAAGAUGAUGACGGUACCCGGCGAAUAAGCCCCGGCUAACUACGUGCCAGCAGCCGCGGUAAUACGUAGGGGGCGAGCGUUGUCCGGAUUUACUGGGCGUAAAGAGCGCGUAGGCGGUUUGGCAAGUUGGCUGUUAAAUGCCUGGGCUUAACCUGGGUAGGUCGGCCGAGACUGCUGGACUUGAGGGCGGUAGAGGAAGGUGGAAUUCCGGGUGUAGUGGUGAAAUGCUUAGAGAUCCGGAGGAACACCAGUGGCGAAGGCGGCCUUCUGGGCCGUACCUGACGCUGAGGCGCGAAAGCGUGGGUAGCGAACUGAAUUAGAUACUCAGGUAGUCCACGCCCUAAACGAUGGACGCUAGGUGUAGGGGGUAUCGACUCCUCCUGUGC